GUUUUGCAGGUUUGCAUUUCAGCGUAUACAUGUAUAUAUGGCUGUGCAAAUCCAUGCAAAACUG
rnacentral:precursor_RNA from 1 species